rnacentral:miRNA from 10 species
UGUUAGAUUGGUGCAAAAGUAAUUGCGGUUUUUGCCAUUACUUUCAAUGGCAAAAGUGACAAUUACUUUUGCAUCAACCUAAUAUA